AACACAAUGCUAUUAUAAGAACUGUUGGAAUAUUUAGUUAAUAAAAACGAUACAAAUGAAAGUGAUGUACACCUGCAUAAAUAUCCAAUCGAUUAAAUAUGGAAAAGCUUUUGGGGCCAAAAGUUUUGUACUUGCAAAGACAAAACUCGCACUUGAAAAAAAACCAAAACCUUGAAUCUGAAAAUAAACGCGCUGAGCUUAAAACUUGAAAAAUAAAACAAUACAUUUGUCAUGAAGUGAUUGGAGCUGGGCGACCAAAUGCAGCUUGGACCAGGGUUUAUUGAAGAACUCAAAAGUUAGACUAGAGCGGUGGUUCCUAACCUUUUUCCUUGUUCGCACCCCAUUCAAUUCACCAACCAGUUCUCGCACCCCCUUCCAGAAUUGAUGAAAGUAGUAUUACUACUAAAUAUACAGCACGAGGCAGUACACAUACAUACCUUCUUAGGUCUACUUCGGCUGAUGACUGAAGAGAAACUAACAGUGUGAGGCCGAAGCAGGCUGAUGCAAUGAGUGACACUUAUUACACACGUUGUGAUCAAUGUUUUCCGAGAAACUGUGUUCUGAAGCAUACCUGUCAAAAUCAUGUUAGCUUCCCAAGUUUUUAUUGUGUAUUGUUAUUCGUUUAACAGUACUUAACUUUAUUACUUA